AACGCUGGCGGUAUGCCUAACACAUGCAAGUCGUACGAGAGUUUUUAACUCAAGUGGCGGACGGGUGAGUAACACGUGAGAAUUUGCCUUUAGGAGGGGGAUAACAGAGUGAAAACGCUGCUAAUACCCCAUAUGCUUUCGAGUGAAAUGGAUUUAUUCGCCUAAAGAGAAGCUCGCGGCUGAUUAGCUUGUUGGUAAGGUAAUGGCUUACCAAGGCGACGAUCAGUAUCUGGUUUGAGAGGACGAUCAGACACACUGGAACUGAGACACGGUCCAGACUCCUACGGGAGGCAGCAGUGGGGAAUUUUCCGCAAUGGGCGAAAGCCUGACGGAGCAAUACCGCGUGAGGGAUGACGGCCUAUGGGUUGUAAACCUCUUUUCUCAGGGAGGAAAUCAAUGACG
rnacentral:rRNA from 1 species